UGAGGAAUAUUGGGUCAAUGGACGAGAGUCUGAACCAGCCAAGUAGCGUGCAGGACGACGGCCCUAUGGGUUGUAAACUGCUUUUGUACGGGGAUAAAGUGAGCCACGUGUGGUUUAUUGCAGGUACCGUACGAAUAAGGACCGGCUAAUUCCGUGCCAGCAGCCGCGGUAAUACGGAAGGUCCAGGCGUUAUCCGGAUUCAUUGGGUUUAAAGGGAGCGUAGGCCGCCCCUUAAGCGUGUUGUGAAAUGCCGCGGCUCAACCGUGGCACUGCAGCGCGAACUGGGGGGCUUGAGUGCGCGCAGCGAAGGCGGAAUUCGU
rnacentral:rRNA from 1 species